CUCAUGUUCGCGUGCUACGUAAAUAAUACUACUAACCGACAGAGCUUGAUAAUUAAGCAAGAAAAAAGAGGAAAGACGUAAACAGAGACCGAAAUAAGCACAAUAUCCACAAGAGAGGGAAACACACUAGAUACGUUAUGCUCAAUAUGAACACGAUUAGUUUCCUUUAUAAACCAAAAUACUUGGAAAUCGAGCAAACUACUGUUUGAUCGUAUACGAUCAGGAAUUUCAUUGACGCGUAAACAUUGAGGGAGUGCCAGCAAAUAGGAAGAUAAAAGAAGUAAAUUUUGACACAUGUUACUGACGAUACUUUACGUACUUGAUGUCUCGAAACUUUUCGACGAAACUUAAUGGUAAUCGUUCACGUAAAUCCACACCAUUAGCAGAACUUGAUUUGUCACUUGCACAA